GGAAAAGGUUGCUUAGGUGUCAGCCAAGACACUCCCUCUGCUUGAGGGAGAGGGAGCUGCCAGCCCGACUAUCCGUUUCCUGCCAGCUUAAGGAGCUUAUGACUCAGAUUCAAGCAAAACACUGUACUGAAGCAAAAGAAGAGGGAGGGAACCUCAGCUCAGAUGAAGGCUCCGGGGCCAAACUGCAUCACUGAAACAUUCAACUCGGGGGAACCCUUGGCACCAGAGGGAUCUCUGAUUUUCGUAAUUGUUCUCUGUUCUGAAAACACACACCUGUGCACAGACACAAACUGCCUUUUCCUCUUGCUCACACUCACACAUUUCUUCCUGAGCUGGAGUUCUAGGCUGUCUCACCCUCCUGCAGGAACAGCUUCUCUGAGAGGCUAGUGUGAUUAUUAUUAAGCCUCUCUCCCAUUCUGUGAUAGCAGAAAAGUCCCCGCCAGAUGUUAUGAUUCAGCUGAUGUCUCCACUUGUCCCUCCUUGCCUCCUGUCAGCCUUGUUUCCAGUUCUCACAGAGGGAGGUGACCGGGGAAGACUACCGACAUUUCUUGGGAAUAGCACGAAACCCAGACGCAUGUGUUUCAAAGUCCUCUGUGGUUUCAGUAGCUUCCUGGAUAUUGCUCUGGUGGCUGAGUCGCUGCCAAUGUUGACUUGCUGGUCAUCUGAAAGCCAAACUCUACCCCUGAGGAAAGGUCCUGGAUGAGUGGAGAGAUCGCGAGUCUUUCAUUUCCUUCCUCCUUCCAUUACUCAUGGACAGGCCCACCCCUCCUCAUCUCUUUUCAGUUAUCUUCUGUGAGUAAACAUUAGUCAUUUCCCUCUAAGCGCCUUAUCCCCAUGUACUGAAAAGGAAUGUGUGGUGUCUUGGAUAGAAGUUCAAAGUACUCAUUAUAGUUUAGAUCUUAAAUUUCGUCCAAGGACCUAUAUGUUAAAGGCUUGAGCGUCCUGCUUGGCACUAUUCGGAGGAGACAGAAAUUUUAGAGGUGGGUCCUAGUGGGAUUGGAGGUGUGUCCUUUUAGAGGACUGUGGGACCCCAGUUGUUCUCUCUUGUGUCCUUAUCAUAAGAUGAGCAGUUUGACUCCACCACAUCCUGCUACCUUGAUGUGCUGCCUUGUCACAGACCCCAAAUGAUAGGAUUAAUAGAUCAUGGGCUGGAACCACCAAAAUGAUGAACCAAAAUAAACUUUUUUCCCCCCUCAUUUUAAGUUAAUUU
rnacentral:lncRNA from 1 species